CGGCAACAGCUCAAAUUUGAAAUCUGGCUUCGGCCCGAGUUGUAAUUUGUAGAGGAUGCUUUUGGCGCGGCCCCUUCUGAGUUCCCUGGAACGGGACGCCAUAGAGGGUGAGAAUCCCGUA
rnacentral:rRNA from 1 species